rnacentral:rRNA from 1 species
CGAACGGGUGAGUAAUACGUGAGUAACCUACCUUUAACUCUGGGAUAAGCCUGGGAAACUGGGUCUAAUACCGGAUACGACCAAUCUCCGCAUGGAGUGUUGGUGGAAAGCGCUAUGUAGUGGUUAUAGAUGGGCUCACGGCCUAUCAGCUUGUUGGUGAGGUAACGGCUCACCAAGGCGACGACGGGUAGCCGGCCUGAGAGGGUGACCGGCCACACUGGGACUGAGACACGGCCCAG